rnacentral:rRNA from 1 species
GACGAACGCUGGCGGCGUGCUUAACACAUGCAAGUCGAACGAAGUGGCGAACGGGUGAGUAACGCGUAAUCAACCUGCCCUUCAGAGGGGGACAACAGUUGGAAACGACUGCUAAUACCGCAUACUGAAGGAGGGGAUUGCGUCGGAUUAGCUAGUUGGAGGGGUAAUGGCCCACCAAGGCGAUGAUCAGUAGGCGGUCUGAGAGGAAGAACGGGCCAAUCGGGACUGGUAAAACGGCCAGAAUACUAACGGAGGCAGCAGUGGGGAAACUUCCGCAAUGGACGAAAGUCUGACUGAGCAAAGGCGCGUGAGUGAUGACGGCCUUCGGGUUGUAAAGCUCUGUUAAGCGGGACGCGGUACCGGAAUAGAAAGCAACGGCUAACUACGUGCCAGCAGCCGCGGUAAUUC